rfam:Pan troglodytes isolate Yerkes chimp pedigree #C0471 (Clint) chromosome 2B, whole genome shotgun sequence.
AGAAAUAUGUCUGACAAAAGAAUUACUUUGACAGAGUAAACAACAGAGGUUAAAAUCCUCAUAUUUCUA